rnacentral:lncRNA from 1 species
AGAGGUCAAAGGGAUUCCUGGGGCAACCUCGAGGGAAAGAAUUCUGGCUCCGAGGGCCGGUGUACAGUGCUUUAAAUAUGGCAGUGGUUAUGUGUGAAAUUAUCGUGUUUUUCUGUUUAACCUGUUUCUUGUCUCUUCAUCGCCUUUCUAUAUAAUGUAAGACCAGAGGCUUUAUGUAGUGAAUUCCCUGUAACCCCGGCUGCUUGGACAGAUAGGUAUUCAAGUAUUUGUUUCUUGAAGUAAUCCUCUGAAUUAACUUGCUCACAUGUAAAAAAUAAUAACGGGCUGGGAAACGCCAGUAAUAGCCGCCAAACGUUUGUUAGACAUUUACAGUGUGCCAGGGACUGCAUUUUACGUGUAUUAUCACAUUCCUCAGAACAGCCUAAUGAGGUAUAUAUUACUAGAAUGCCUAUUUUUCAGAUGAGGAAACUGAUGCAUAGAAAGGAUAAUUUACUCAAGAGCGAGGAAGUAGCAAGCAUAAAAUCCAAGUACAUUUUUUUCUGCAUGUAUUAAUAGGUACAAUGAAGUAACUUUUUAAAUUGCUGUAGGUAUCAAUCAUAGUCUUAAUUCCCAGUAAUUCACUUACUAAGAAAUAUUUUCUGCUUCUCUUUCAUCAUUCAUGGGAGAGAUACAUAUCCCUAAAUAUUUUGCACAUUUAAAACUUAAACUUGGGUAUGGUGGCUUAUGCCUGUAAUCACGGCGUUUUGGGAGGCUCAGGUGGGAGGAUUGCUUGAGUCCAGGAGUUCCAGGCCAGCCUGGGCCACAUAGUAAGACCCCGUAUCUACAAAAAAUAAAAAAAAAAUUAACCGGGCAUGGUAGUGUCUCUGUAGUACUAGCUACUCGGGAGGCUGAGGUGGUAGGAUCACUGGCGCCCAGCAAUUCCAGCCUGCAGUUAGGAUUACCACACUGCACUUCAGCCUGAGCGGCAGAAUGGGACCAUGUCUGAAAAAAUAAAUAAAAAAUAAAACUUGCAGGUGACUCUGAAGCAGAACUCUUGAGAUGGAAGGAUUGUCAUCUGAGGAAAAAAAAUCAAGAUUAAGAGAGGAGGAACUAGAAUGAGAUUCACAUACCGUCUCUCCUCCAAGGGAAGGAGAGAGUGGUGAUGCCUGCCCACUCCUUCCUGGGCAGAACAUUUGUAGCAUGGAACAUUGGAGAAUUUGCAGUCUGCUGACUUUCUGAUUUAGGAGGUUGAUGGGGAGGCCUUAUAAUUUGCAUUUCUAACAAGUUCUGAGGUGAUGCUUCAAGUAUGUCCAGGCAGAAGGGCUGCCUCACAGAGAAUUCUGCCAUACCACAUGGGAAUUGAAGUCACAGACAUCUCUAACCCUCAAGCCUGAAACCAAAAGACUGAAAACCAACACUACAGUGGACAAAGAACAUCUCUGAACUUGUGUGGGGACCAGUGACACAAGGACCUAAGGUCUCUCUCUUCUCAUCUUGGCACUUCAGAAGUCUCCCCAAUCUUGACAAAGCCCUGGAGAAAGGGCCGGGCCUCCCGUUGAUAAGAAUAUCACUGCAGAUAAAUGGAGGUUUCAAAUUGAAAGAAAGGAGGAGGGCCUCCUGUUGAUAAGAUUAUUGUCACUGCAGGUAAAUGGAGGCUUCAAAUAGAAAUACAUUUCAGUUACAGAAAAAAAAAUUAUCUUUGUUACACAUUUGAGUUUGCAGGCCUAAGGUUACUCCCGCUACACUAUCAUCUGUAACCAUAACGCACUCAACAUUUUAAGCUAACUAUAAGGAUUGUUGCUUCACUCAAAGAUCCUGAGGUUUUAUUCACUAACAUUUUUAUUUGGUGACUAUAGUUGACAAGAACAAAGCUGUGGGGAACCAACAAACACUGCAAUGCCUGGCAUUGUCACCUCACUAGAUUGUGAGUUCCUCUGGGACAGGGUCCGUACAUUUUCUUAGAAUCCCUCACUUAGCCAUUAGCCUGCACAGUGCUUGUACUUAGUAAGUGCUCAGUAAAUGUUUGUGGAAUGAAUGCAUGAUGAACAAAAUAUAUACUGAGGACUCUU